GUGAAAAGUAUCAGGCGACUGUUUAACAAAAACACAGGGCUCUGCAAAAUCGAAAGAUGAAGUAUAGGGCCUGACACCUGCCCGGUGCUGGAAGGUUAAGGAAGGUUGUUAGCCGCAAGGCAAAGCUUCCGACUGAAGCCCCAGUAAACGGCGGCCGUAACAAUAACGGUCCUAAGGUAGCGAAAUUCCUUGUCGGGUAAGUUCCGACCUGCACGAAUGGUGUAACGAUCUGAUAACUGUCUCAGCCGUGAGCUCGGUGAAAUUGUAGUCCCGGUGAAGAUGCCGGGUACCCGUAACGGGACGGAAAGACCCCGUGAACCUUCACUACAACUUUGCAUUGACUUUGAGUAAACGAUGUGUAGCAUAGGUGGGAGAUUUUGAAGCGGGCACGCUAGUGUUCGUGGAGUCAACGUUGAAAUACCACCCUUUGUUUACUUAGAGCCUAAUCCGCUAAGCGGAGAAAGUGCAUGGUGGGUAGUUUG
rnacentral:rRNA from 1 species